rnacentral:rRNA from 1 species
UACGUAGGGUGCAAGCGUUGUCCGGAAUUAUUGGGCGUAAAGAGCUCGUAGGCGGUCUGUCGCGUCGGACGUGAAAACCCAGGGCUCAACCCUGGGCCUGCGUUCGAUACGGGCAGACUAGAGUUCGGUAGGGGAGACUGGAAUUCCUGGUGUAGCGGUGAAAUGCGCAGAUAUCAGGAGGAACACCGGUGGCGAAGGCGGGUCUCUGGGCCGUAACUGACGCUGAGGAGCGAAAGCGUGGGGAGCGAACAGG